rnacentral:lncRNA from 1 species
UACUGGUGAAACAUAUCUUAGGAAGUGCGUCUCCUAUUGGUGAAACUGAAACUUAGGAAGUGCGUCUCCUACUGGUGAAACUUAUCUUAGGAAGUGCGUCUCCUACUGAUAAAACUUGCUUAGGAAGUGCGUCUCCUACUGGUGAAACUUGCUUAGGAAGUGCGUCUCCUAUUGGUGAAACUUGCUUUAGGAAGUGCGUCUCCUAUUGAUAAAACUUGCUUAGGAAGUGCGUCUCCUACUGGUGAAACUUGCUUAGGAAGUGCGUCUCCUACUGGUGAAACUUGCUUAAGAAGUGCGUCUCCUACUGGUGAAAUAUUUUUAGGAAGUGCGUCUCCUAUUGGUGAAACUGAACCUAGGAAGUGCGUCUCCUAUUGAUGAAACUUGCUUUAGGAAGUGCGUCUCCUAUGGUGAAACUGAACCUAGGAAGUGCGUCUCCUAUGGUAAAACUGAACUUAGGAGGAAAUGCAUCUCCUAUGGGUAAAGACGUGGAAUGUAUGCCUCUAUUAUCUGGGCGGGCUCCCAAUUUCAACACUUGAAAUAAAAGACUGAAUGUAUGCCUCUGUUAUCUGGGCGGGCUCCCAAUUUCAACACUUAAAAUUAAAGACUGAAUGUAUUCCUCUGUUAUUAUGGGCGGGCUCCCAAUUUCAACACUU